GGCUUAGUGGUUAGUGGUUAGCACGGUCACCUCACAGCUCCAAGAUCGGGGGUUCGAUUCCCACCAUGGCCC